UGCUCUGUUGCCCAGGCUGGAGUGCAGUGGUGCGAUCAUGACUCACUGAAGCCUCGACCUCCUAGGCUUAAGCGAUCUUCCCAUCUCAUCCUCCCAAGUACCUGGGACUACAGGGCCUACUGCAGUGCAUGAAGGUGGUAUGAACUCAGAACUCUGAAGUCUGAGGAGACAAAUACAUGCCCACCAUAACAACAUCACACAAUACCUAGAGUCAAAACAGUUAUCCCUAUUCCUACCCCCAACUGAGUUAUUCAAUAAAGCCUGCCUUAUUGAA